ensembl:lncRNA
UCUGUUUCAAAGAGCUUUGCAGAAAUAAAGCUCAGUAAUACUACCACAUUUGGCAAAAGAGGAAGAAAUGAAUCUCAGCAUGGAAGGUCCCUCCUUUACACAUGCACUGGGGCCAGUAGGUACUACCUGAUCUCCACAGCAUGGCUGCACAGUAAAAGGAAGAGAAAGUCAAAGCCAGGUGUGUUGGCAGGAUCCCAGACUGAUGUGCAUUUACGGUGUAGAUGCCACAGAUAGCUAUAUGCUGUUGCUGAAUGAGAAUACCAGAUUCCCUGUGAAAAACCUUCUCUCAGGUUUUCCUUUUAAUUUCAAUGCUGUACCGAUGUGAGUUUUGCCAUGGUUCAUAAACUAAGGCCUCCUUUCACUAAAACAGGGAUUUUCCGAGCUGUAAAUCGAGUCAGAAUUUUGACACACGGACUGAGAAGAUCACAUGUGAAAGAAAUGUGAAACAUACCCUGUUUGUGCUGGACAAGACUGAAGGCUGUGGCAGUGGGACACACAGAAAGACUGCCACCAACUUUCCAGUCAAGGAGAUCUCCAUCAAGGUGCUACCAGAGAAGCAUCUGUGGCGGCAUGCCUGUAUUUACACAGAUGGGCCAUUUAUGUUUUCAGAUGCUGCAGCUCCAAACUGAUAAGAAAGUGGUCUGAUUACCAUCAUCUUCUUUAGCCAUGUAACUUCAGCACUGAAAGCAGAGGGCAGGUCUCUCCCUUGGCUGUGGUUCCUUCCUCCAGAGAGUGAUUCAGUGUCACGUCCAGGGCUGAGUCAUCUUCUGCAGGGGCCUCUCCCUUCUCUCUAGUGAAGCACCUGCAGUGGGGCUUAGCCAUGCCAAAGAGUGAGCACUGACCUGCCUGUCAUCUAAGUACGUGAGAUUGCUGGGAGAUGCAGGACUUUUUUGUGCUGCUGCCAAGAGGUGGGUGGGAAAAAAUCUGUGUGUCUGCACAUGCAUGUGUUUGCACAUAUAACUGUACUUCUGGAUCUCCUAUUUUUAUAUUUCUAACUUUUUUUUUGUUUGUUUGUUUGUUUUUGUUUUCUGGGGUACUUGUUUUUCUGCCUCUAAGUAGACUUCUGGAUAUUAGUCUAGUUUUUGGCACAUUUAGUGAAGAAAUGCUGUAGAAACUUGUAUUGAAUUAUCUGAAUAAAAGAGGUAAAAUGAGGUAAUUAUAUAUUGGAAAAGCUGGAG